AGAAACUUGUUUCUCGGGUGGCGAGCGGCGGACGGGUGAGUAAUGCCUGGGAAAUUGCCCUGAUGUGGGGGAUAACCAUUGGAAACGAUGGCUAAUACCGCAUAAUAGCUUCGGCUCAAAGAGGGGGACCUUCGGGCCUCUCGCGUCAGGAUAUGCCCAGGUGGGAUUAGCUAGUUGGUGAGGUAAUGGCUCACCAAGGCGACGAUCCCUAGCUGGUCUGAGAGGAUGAUCAGCCACACUGGAACUGAGACACGGUCCAGACUCCUACGGGAGGCAGCAGUGGGGAAUAUUGCACAAUGGGCGCAAGCCUGAUGCAGCCAUGCCGCGUGUGUGAAGAAGGCCUUCGGGUUGUAAAGCACUUUCAGUCGUGAGGAAGGUGGUGUUGUUAAUAGCAGCAUCAUUUGACGUUAGCGACAGAAGAAGCACCGGCUAACUCCGUGCCAGCAGCCGCGGUAAUACGGAGGGUGCGAGCGUUAAUCGGAAUUACUGGGCGUAAAGCGCAUGCAGGUGGUUUGUUAAGUCAGAUGUGAAAGCCCGGGGCUCAACCUCGGAAUAGCAUUUGAAACUGGCAAGCUAGAGUACUGUAGAGGGGGGUAGAAUUUCAGGUGUAGCGGUGAAAUGCGUA
rnacentral:rRNA from 1 species